rnacentral:rRNA from 1 species
GAUGAGCGCUGGCGGCGUGCCUAAUACAUGCAAGUCGAGCGAAUGGAUUAAGAGCUUGCUCUUAUGAAGUUAGCGGCGGACGGGUGAGUAACACGUGGGUAACCUGCCCAUAAGACUGGGAUAACUCCGGGAAACCGGGGCUAAUACCGGAUAACAUUUUGAACCGCAUGGUUCGAAAUUGAACGGCGGCUUCGGCUGUCACUUAUGGAUGGUCCCGCGUCGCAUUAGCUAGUUGGUGAGGUAACGGCUCACCAAGGCAACGAUGCGUAGCCGACCUGAGAGGGUGAUCGGCCACACUGGGACUGAGACACGGCCCAGACUCCUACGGGAGGCAGCAGUAGGGAAUCUUCCGCAAUGGACGAAAGUCUGACGGAGCAACGCCGCGUGAGUGAUGAAGGCUUUCGGGUCGUAAAACUCUGUUGUUAGGGAAGAACAAGUGCUAGUUGAAUAAGCUGGCACCUUGACGGUACCUAACCAGAAAGCCACGGCUAACUACGUGCCAGCCGCCGCAGUAA